AAAUAGCUUUAGGGCUAGCCUCGGCAGAGAUACGUGGAGGUAGAGCACUGAAUUUCCUAGGGGGCGUCAAAGCCUACCGAAGAAUAUCAAACUCCGAAUGCCAUGAUAUUGCUUGCCGGGAGUCAGACUAUACGAGAUAAGUUGGAUAGUCAAAAGGGAAAGAGCCCAGACCUCCAGCUAAGGUCCCAAAGUGCGUGUUAAGUGGAAAAGGAUGUGGGAUUUCGAAGACAACUAGGAUGUUGGCUUAGAAGCAGCCACCAUUUAAAAAGUGCGUAACAGCU
rnacentral:rRNA from 16 species